AGAUGGCGACCGGCGCACGGGUGAGUAACACGUAUCCAACCUGCCGGUAACUCGGGGAUAGCCUUUCGAAAGAAAGAUUAAUACCCGAUGGCAUAAUUAGACCGCAUGGUCUUAUUAUUAAAGAAUUUCGGUUAUCGAUGGGGAUGCGUUCCAUUAGGCAGUUGGUGAGGUAACGGCUCACCAAACCUUCGAUGGAUAGGGGUUCUGAGAGGAAGGUCCCCCACAUUGGAACUGAGACACGGUCCAA
rnacentral:rRNA from 1 species